rnacentral:lncRNA from 1 species
AAAGUACCUGGACCUCUAUGCCCAUGCUUCUAGCAGCCAGCCUCCUAAAAUACCUCUAGUUGAAGCCAAAGUUAGAAUCCUUCUACGAAACUACAGGAUUAAAAUGGAAUGGUUACAUGACCCAGGCUUGACCAAUCAGAUCAUCCAAACCCUUUGCCACAGUGAUUGGUCCAGGGAUACAUGCAUGAGCCAGCUCAGGCCUAAGCCACACUCAUCUUGUGGAUGACACUGGAGCUGUGACAGUCUGUUCUGUCCAGGCAGGGUGUCUUUUAUUUUUAUUGGAAAUAAGAUUAUCACAGUACGCAAGGCCCAAACAAUUGGUGAUAAUGAAGAAACUCUACUACCAGACGUUGCGGGAUGCCUCAAUGACCUAAUCCAGUAAAUCACAGCUCCAGCUGUCCAUGAGCUCUG